CACGUCUGUUAUCCUAGCACUUUGGGAGGCCAAGGUGAGCGGAUCACUUGAGGUCAGGAGUUUGAAACCAGCCUGGCCAACAUAAUGAAACCCUGUCUCUACUAAAAAUACAAAAAAAAUUAGCUGGGUGUGGUGGUGGGCAACUGUAAUCCCAGCUACUCAGGAGGCAGAGACACAAGAAUCGCUUGAAUCCGGGGGAUGGAGGUUGCAGUGAGCUGAGAUCACACCACUGCACUUCAGCCACGGCAACAAAGUGAGACUCUGUCUCAAAAGAAAGAUGAUAAAUGUAGUUUCUAAAUAUCAUAUUAUUAUAAGAAUAUCAUGUUUGUUGAUUGCUAACAACUGGUUUUGUACUGAAACUUUAUUAACUAUCAUGGUGAAAAUUUACUCUGUCCUCUGCUAUUUUAUUUUUUCUUUUCCUUUUAAAACACCCAAAAGGCACUAUAACCCUCUGUUAUUUAUUAACGCACAUAUGUUGAGGUGAGGACAUUUCUAAGCCCCCAAAUUGCUGACUUUGCAAUGUUUUAGUGUCUGUUUGUUUUUUCUUUUAUGUUGCAGUGGUGCGAAUAAAGAGCCGAAUAACUUAUGUACUACUCUACAUGUGAUAGGACAAAACUAAGAAAAUUUUAAUAGGCUGGAAAAGAUGUCAUCAUGUGGAGAAUGAUGUGCCAUUAUUUAGUAUAACACAGAGAAAGAAAAAGAUACCAACACUGCCAAUUAAGUAGACAUACCAUCACAUAUAAGAUGAACUUCAACUUCAGAGAUAUCAAAAUGUGAAAAAUAUGUCCUUCUUAAAAGUUAUGAGGUUCAUCCAUGUAGUCCCAAAUGACAACCCGG
rnacentral:lncRNA from 1 species